GAUCAAUUGUGAAUAGCAAAGUGAAUAAAAAUUCAACAGAUUUAAAAAAAAAUAUUUUAAAUUGCAAAGUUUUUUGAAAAUCUCUAAAUAUACUUAUAGAUUUAUUACCUUCAAAAUAAAUCAUGCCUUCCUUGACGUCGGACUAGAUACAGAUAGGGGAGACGCGAAGUAUUUGUGUGGGAGCAGUAGCUGACCUCUAGUGUGGCCUUGAGGUAAUUAUAUUUAACUGCAUCUAAAAAAGUAGGUAGUAUUAAAAAAAACUAUUAAAAACUACGAAAUUAUUAUAUUAUAUUGAUUAUACAGGCUAGUGUAUAUUUAUAGAAAACUACUGUUCCCCACGAUUUCACCCGUGUUAAUUUAUGACAUGUGCACAUUUAUGGGCGCGCAUACUUGAAUAUUUAUUGUUUUGAAGUUAUUUUAAAACUAUAACAUACACA